GACGAACGCUGGCGGCGUGCUUAACACAUGCAAGUCGAGCGGAAAGGCCCUUCGGGGUCCUCGAGCGGCGAACGGGCGAGUAACACGUGAGUAACCUGCCCAAGACUUUGGGAUAACCCUCGGAAACGGGGGCUAAUACCGUAUACCACACAGCUACGCAGAGGGGCUGUGUGGAAUGGUGUUCGGCGUUGGAUGGGCUCGCGGCCGAUCAGCUUGCUGGUGGGGUGAUGGCCUACCAAGGCGACGGCGGGUAGCCGGCCGGAGAGGGCGAGCGGCCACACUGGGACUGCGACACGGCCCAGUCUCCUACGGGCGGCAGCAGUGGGGAAUAUUGCACAAUGGGCGGAAGCCUGAUGCAGCGAUGCCGCGUGCGUGAUGAUGGCCUUCGGGUUGUAAACCUCUUUCUGCGGGAACGAAGCGUAAGUGACGGUACCUGCAGAAGAAGCCCCGGCCAACUACGUG
rnacentral:rRNA from 1 species